CUACUAUUAUAUUCCUUAAAUGUCCACAUAAGGAAGUUUAACUUUAAUGCUUCAGUCUAAAGUCUUAGCAAUUUUUUUGCAUUUUGCAUUUUAGUCACUGAUUCAGUGAAGCUGAGAAAUUUGCUGACAUCAUCAUCUGUCAACACGGCAUAGAUUUAUUCUGGAGCAGAAACUGGAUGAGUUUGGUGUCCCUGGGCUCACUGUGAACUCUUGAACUACCCUGCAUUUGUGGCUUAAU
ensembl:lncRNA